CUCCUUUGCUUGCAGAGAUGCAAGAAGAACCCAUUCUAUUUUUAUACAAUCAUAGAAUUGUAGAGUUGGAAGGGACCCAAAUGGCCAUCUCUAGUCGCUGCAAUUGGGUUUUCUCUUUUAUUUAAUUUGUGUUCUUCUUCUGUAAAACUUCUACAGUGGUACCUCGGGUUACAUACACUUCAGGUUACAUACGCUUCAUGUUACAGACUCCGCUAACCCAGAAAUAGUGCUUCAGGUUAAGAACUUUGCUUCAGGAUGAGAACAGAAAUCGUGCUCUGGUGGCGCAGCGGCAGCAGGAGGCCCCAUUAGCUAAAGUGGUGCUUCAGGUUAAGAACAGUUUCAGGUUAAGAACGGACCUCCGGAACGAAUUAAGUACUUAACCCGAGGUACCACUGUAUAUAAUUUUAUUUCAUUUAUUUCAUUUAAUUUCCAUGCUGCUUUCAAUUGCAAGAAAUUUCUACGCAUCUCAACUAAACCCAAUAUAUAUAUAUUAUUUAGAAAAUACAAAUUCCACAUUUGACACAGCUGUCACUGAUCACACUGCUUGUAAUAAAAUGCCAUGUUUCAAGUAGCAUCUUCCAACGUCGUUCUCAAAAGCAUGUAUGCAAAAUAAUGUAAAUGAAAACAAAAGUGAGCUGCACAGAAACAAAAAUACAUAAUGCUACAACAUCAGAAUGCAGGAAAAUUACAAGAUAUGUCUUUUUAAAAAACCCUCGUAAAUAUUCCAGAAAAGGAACAAAAGAAAGAAGGAAGGAAAGAGAAUAAUAAAACAAAAGCCCUCACAUGUAUUAAUACAAGUCAAUAAUCCAGGCACAUAAGUAGUAGUAAUAAUAAUAAUAAUAAUAAUAAUAAUAAUAAUAAUAUUUUAUUUAUAGCCUGCCCUCCCCAGCCAAAGCCGGGCUCAGAGCGACUAACAACAGUAAAAUAAUACAGCAUUCUAAAAUCAAUUCAUUCUAAAAUCAGUUCAAAAUCAAAUUAAUGGCAACCAUUGGGCUAGAGUUCUGUGAGGAUUACCAAAGGAGGGGGUCAGACUGUGCCUUGGCCAAAGGCCUGGUGGAAGAGCUCUGUCUUGCAGAAUAAAUAAUAAAACUUUCCUUCUGUUCAAUUUUCACUUCAAUAAAGCAAAUAAUAAUAAUAUUAAUUUAUACCCCGCCCAUCUGGCUGGGUUUCCCCAGCCACUCUGGGCGGCUUCCAACAAAAUAUUAAAAUACAAUAGUUCGUCAAACAUCAAAAGCUUCCCUAAACAGGGCUGCCUUCAGAUGUCUUCUAAAACAUACAACCAAUAUUUAUGUACAAAAAGUAUGUCUGCUGAAUAGCAACUGAACAGGUGAAAUGCCAAAGUCACAGUCACUGAAACACCUGUAUAUGCCAUUAAUUAAUAUUAUAAUUCUGUCCAAUUAUUUAGUCUUGUGGCCGCCUGCAUGCAGUUUUGGCUGAGGGUCCCAGGAAAGGCUGGGGGGCUGCUGGAUCCAAGUUUCUGGGAAUCACAGGUGGGCACUCAGGUCCUGUUGGGGGCUUCCCAUUGACACAUCUGGUUGGCAGCUGUGAGAACACAAUUCUGGACUAGAUGGACCUUUGGCCUGACCCAGCAGUGCUUUUCUUUUGUGCUUGUGAUGCGCUCUUCAUCAGUGUUGAAAGCAUCUAGGAGAGGGUUUCCCAGACUUGGGUCUCCAGCUGUUUUUGGACUACAGUUCCCAUCAUCCCUGACCACUGGUCCUGCUAACUAUGGAUGGUGGGAGUUGUAGUCUAAAAACAGCUGGGAACCCAAACUGACCAAGGAGAGGAAUCACUGGAAAUCCCACUCCAUAUCAGGUCCUCUCGCUAGUCUUGUUCUGCUGCUUCUCCACCAGAUCUAGCAAAAUGGGACCUCCUGCAACAAAACGUUGCAGCGUGGCACUGCCUCUCCACUGUCGGAGGUGGAGUUCUUUAUUUAUUGGUUCAUUCACAUGCUGUAUUAAUAGGGCUCCUAAGCGGUUUGCGAGUAUCAAAGCCAGUUACACAAACAUUAAGAUGUAUAAACCUGCAUGAUUUAAACACACAAUAAGCUGAUCCUAUUAAAGCAUCCAUAAUUAAAAACAGGCAAUAAAAAAAAUCUCAUUAAAACAAUGCAGUAAUUAAAACAGGGGAGUCAUGGCAAGAGAUAAGCACUUCUAGAUGCUGGGAAUUACGGUUGGGGAGAAGCGAUGUUAUAUUCUUGCAGGAUUGUGGGUAAGUGAAAACACGAUGCUGAACUAGAUGGGGCUUUGGCCUGACCCAGCACUGCUGCUCUUAUAUUCCUCCUUAACACUCAAUUCUAUUCUCUCCUGUUUUCCCGGCUGCUCCCCUCCACACACACACACACACACACACAGUCAGACAAUCUGUGACUGCUGGGCCUGCUCAUCAUUUGAAGUCGCCCCACUCCAUUCCCCCCCCCCCCGAGACUUACAGUGGUACCUCUGGUUACAUACGUUUCAAGUUACAUACGCUUCAGGUUACAUACACUUAAGGUUACAGACUCCGCUGACCCAGAAAUAGUGUUUCAGGUUAAGAACUUUGCUUCAGGAUGAGAACAGAAAUUGUGCUCCCGUGGCGCAGCAGCAGCAGGAGGCCCCAUUAGCUAAAGUGGUGCUUCAGGUUAAGAACAGUUUCAGGUUAAGAACGGACCUCCGGAACGAAUUAAGUACUUAACCUGAGGUACCACUGUAUUUGACUUCUGCAGUUCUGUGUCUCUUGAAUUUGCUGAGAGCUCCCUCUUGUGCAUGGUAGCUGCCAUUUCAGUGACUUAUUCAGUGACACUCAUUUGUGCAAAUCAAAAAUCAAGGAAAAGACGGUUCUGAUCCAGCCUCCUUCCUGAGAUGCUAGUCUUCUAUAUGUGGGGAUGUUUUUUUAGAGAGGAGCAUUCCACCAUUUGCACUCCCACCUGAGUUCUGAAGUGGUACAGCCAUCACAUAAUAAUAAUAAGCUGGAGGAGACUCUUGAGAGUCCCAUGGACUGCAAGAAGAUCAAACCUAUCCAUUCUUCAGGAAAUCAGCCCUGAGUGCUCACUGGAAGGACAGAUCCUGAAGCUGAGGCUCCAAGACUUUGGCCACCUCAUGAGAAGAGAAGACUCCCUGGAAAAGACCCUGAUGCUGGGAAAGAUUGAGGGCACAAGGAGAAGGGGACGACAGAGGACAAGAUGGCUGGACAGUGUUCUCGAAGCUACCAGCAUGAGUUUGACCCAACUGCGGGGGGCCGUGGAGGACAGGGGUGCCUGGCAUCCAUGGGGUCACGAAGAGUAGGACAAGACUAAAUGACUAAAACAAAUAAUAAUUAUAACAAUUAUAAUAAAUUUUAUUUAUAUCCCACCUUCCCCAGCCAGAGCAGGGCUCAGGGCGACUAACACCAGUAAAAAUUACAGUAAAAACAUAAUGUGUGGUGGGAGAAACCAAUUUAAAAUACAGGUUAAAAUGCAAUUUAAAAUGCAGCCUCAUUUUAAAAGUAGCCCAUAGAUCACAUAAAGGGAAGGAAACAUAAGGGUCAGACUGAGUCCAAACCAAAGGCCAGGCGGAACAGCUCUGUCUUACAGGCCCUGUAGAAAGAAAUCAAAUCCCACAGGGCCCUGGUCUCAUGAGACAGAGUGUUCGACCAGGCUGGAGCCAGUGUUGAAAAGGCCCUGGCCCUGGUUGAGGCUAAUCUGACUUCCUUAGGGCCUGGGACCUCUAGAAUGUUGCUAUUUAUGGACCUUAAGGUUUUCAGCAAAAACCAAGCUUGAGGCACCGAAGCCAAAGUCAAAAUUGUUCCUGGCUAACACCUUGUUAUGUAGCCUAAGCCAAUUAAACAGCUUUUUUGCAAAGCUCUUAAUAAGCUGUAAUCUCUUUAACUCCACCAUCUGAAAGCCUUUUGAUCAUCCACCCACUCACUCGAACUUGGUGCUGCCUGAAAUAUAAUAUCCUGCCGGCACACCCGGCUCUGUCCAUCAAUCGUCGAGGACGAGAUGCCAGGGAUAUGACUUGCCCCAGCCUGAUCACCUGGAAGCCUCAUCGGGAAUGGAGAGGUCUUUUUUAAUUGGUGGCUCACUUUAUUUUAAAUAGUCACAUUCUGCCUCUCCAGCUCUUGCGAUAACUCACGGCAAUCAAUUACAACAAAAGUACAUUGUGGGAACAAUUUUAUACGCACUUAGCCAGGAGAGCGUCCCACAAUGAGCAAAAGAACAUAGGGAACAUUGCGUGGAUCGGGCCAGUGACACGUCCAGUCUUUUUCUCACAGUAACCAAACAGAUGCCCACCAGAAGCUCACAACCAAGACCUGAGCACAAAUACGCUCUUCUCUUUUAAAUCCUCUUUUAAAGCUAUCCAAGUUGGUGGUCAACACUACCCUGGGACUUCUGCGCAGGCUUGUUGGUGGCUGUGGCGAUCACACAGGGUCCCUGGACGUUUCACCGUCUAUUGAUCCCUGUGCCACCACUUUAUUUCUCGCUGCCACCACCCAGGCCCUACCUGGGACAAUACUGAGUCCAGUCAGGGUUAAAUUGGAACAUAAACUUUUGUUUAUUUAUUGCAGUUUAACAAGCAUGUGGUUUCGUAAACGGUAUCGGUCAAUUAAAAUCAUGGGGUGCCUAUCCAGACCUAUAACUUCCACUACCUGCUGUCACUCACUAAACCACAUCUCUGAUAUUUACUUGUCUGCCUAGCUCAUAACUGUUCCUGACUCAGCUUAUUUCUCUCCACUAACUCAACCUAGGGACGCGGGUGGCACUGUGGGUUAAACCACAGAACCUAGGACUUGCCAAUCAGAAGUUUGGCGGUUCGAAUCCCCACGACAGGGUGAGCUCCUGUUGCUCAGUCCCUGCUCCUGCCAACCUAGCAGUUCGAAAGCACUUCAAAGUGCAAGUAGAUAAAUAGGUACCGCUCCGGCGGGAAGGUAAACGGUGUUUCCGUGCACUGCUCUGGUUUCGCCAGAAGCGGCUUAGUCAUGCUGGCCACAUGACCCCGAAGCCGUACGCCGCCUCCCUCGGCCAAUAAAGUGAGAUGAGCGCCGCAACCCCAGAGUCGGCCACGACUGGACCUAACGGUCAAGGGUCCCUUUACCUUUACUGACUGAGCUAUCCCUUGUCAUGUGAGUGGCUAUGUUUCGGUUUGCAUACUGUUUUGAAACUUGUGAUUUAGGCAGGUUCACUUUCAGACAACCAUCUUGGCCGCCUCUUAUGCAGACCCAGUCUGAGCUUCCAUGCUCUCUGAUCACCAUGAACCACCAUUGGCAGGGCUGGCAGCAACCGCAGCAGAUAUGUUCUAUGCUUAUGAAAGUAUUUUAUUCUUUUGUCAAUUGUGCUAUUUUAAAUGUGUGUUUUAAAUUUGACUUCCUUUAGUUGUGUUUCAUUUCAAAACCUUUAAGGUAAUAUCUUAAGGUAAAGGUAAAGGGACCCCUGACCAUUAGGUGCAGUCAUGACCGACUCUGGGGUUGCGGCGCUCAUCUCACUUUAUUGGCCGAGGGAGCCGACGUACAGCUUCUGGGUCAUGUGGCCAGCAUGACUAAGCCACUUCUGGCGAAACCAGAGCAGCGCAUGGAAACGCCGUUUACCUUCCCGCCAGAGUGGUACCUAUUUAUCUACUUGCACUUUGACGUGCUUUUGAACUGCUAGGUUGGCAGGAGCAGGGAGCGAGCAAUGGGAGCUCACCCCGUCGCAGGGAUUCAAACCGCCGACCUUCUGAUCGGCAAGUCCUAGGCUCAGUGGUUUAACCCACAGCGCCAUCUGUGUCCCUUAAGGUAAUAUCUUAGUUCCUUGUUAAUUAUGCUGCUUUGAAGAUAUACUUUACAUUUGACUUUCUUCAGGAAUGUUUUCUUCUCCUUCCUUGGAGGUUUUAAAGCAGAGGUUGGAUGGUCACCUGUUAUGGAUACUUUAGUUGAGAUUCCUGCAUUGCAAGGGGGUUAGACUAGAUGACUCCAGGGUCCCUUCCAACUCUGCAAUUCUAUAAUUCUAUUGUGGGUUGUUUUAUUUGAUGUUUGAAUGUGUUGUAAACUACUUUGAAAUUGUUUCCCUUAAAAAUAUAAUAUGGUAUAGAAAUUGUCAUCAUCAGUCAGAAUUUCUUCUCCAGUCAGAGCAAUCACUCUUCAGGAAAGCACCCUUUGAAACAUGUCAGUUGUCUUAAAGAACCAUGUUCUCUUCCAGGAGCCAAUUAUCGCCUUCCAAGGCAUGGUGUACUGAACAUCGCUCCCAGCUGCACUCCUGAUCCUCAAAGCGAGCCAUCAGAAAACGUGAACCUCUUGAAACUGGGCCAGAAGAUAAUUUGCAAGGUAGGAGGGAAGAACGGAGGCUGCCGGAGCUGGCCAAUCCAAACUCCCAAAGACGUAGGCGUAAUCGUUGUGCAACGGCUUUCCAUUGAUGUGGCCACGUAUGAAACAAAAGAUGGGCCAGGCUGUUGGUGGGACAACCACUCCGGGCAGAGAUUGCGUGCCCCUCCGCUGGUCCAUUAGAGAUAAUAAUAAUAAUAAUAAUAAUAAUAAUAAUAAUAAUAAUAUAUAUAUAUAUAUAUAUAUAUAUAUAUAUAUAUAUAUAUUUGUACC